AAACAUGAGCCCCGCCUGUUUACCAAAAACAUCACCUCUAGCAUUUACCAGUAUUAGAGGCACUGCCUGCCCGGUGAGUUGUGACUUUAACUGCCGCGGUAUCCUGACUGUGCAAAGGUAGCAUAAUCACUUCUCUUUUAAUUGGGGACUAGUAUGAAUGGCAUCACGAGGGCUCA
rfam:Sarcophilus harrisii ctg7180002265822, whole genome shotgun sequence.